CCUGGGUUCCAGCGAUCCUCCCGCCUCAGCCUCCCCAGUAGCUGGGGCUACAGGUCUAGCUGGAGUACAGUGAUGCAGUCAUAGCCCACUGCAGCCUCAAAAUUCCUGGGCUCAAGCAAUCCACCCACAUCAGCUUCCCAAGUAGUUGGGACUACAGGCCCACACUACUAUACCCAGACCAACAGAUAUUCUAGCAUAUAAGAAAUGUGAUGCUCUCUGUACAUUGAAGAGUUGGUCUAAUAUUUGGCCUGGUGGAUACAGAAAUUGCCUGUCUGCUCCGCUCUGGUUGAAGAAACCAGUCCGACUGUCUCUGAGGCUAUGGAGCAGUCCAUCAAGAAUGAAAGCCCUCGGCUGGCACGUUGGCUCACACCUGUAAUACCAGCGCUUUGGGAGGCUGAGGCAGGUGGAUCACUUGAAGUCACGAAUU
rnacentral:lncRNA from 10 species